UAAGGAUAGUGAGGACCUGACCUCUCUCUGGAAAUAAGAGAAACAUGUUUUGGCGUUUUUCGAUAAUCAUAUAGUUAAAAAAAAGUUAGGUACUUAAUUAGUUCAGAUUUUAAAUUUUUGAAAUGAUGGAGCGUCCUGUUCAUUUGGGUGAUAUCAAAUCAUCACAAUGACGAGGUUUCUAUUUUUCAUUCAUAGUCCUACGAAGAUAAUUUUAUCUCGGUUUUAAUUUUUUAUAGGUAUGUACAUAUAUCGUGUUCAUACCAUCACUGACGUUCUGAUAUAGUAAUGAUCUCUGUGCUCUGCUCUGACCCAUAUUGCCAGUUCGUUACUCGACUUCAAUAUGAGUAACAACUCUGGUUGUAUGGUACUCACGACUCUAUUUAAAAUGGUGGGAUUCUUCUUUUGUAUGUAUCUCAUUCCUAAGCUCACUUUCCACUGAACGAUGACAAAGCCGAAGAAGGUACCGAUUUCAACGUUUUUCCUUUUUUUGCACACAGACUUUCGCAUUUCCAGGUCAAAAAGAGGAUGAAUUCAGUCUUGACUCAUCGCCGCACCCACGGCCUCUUGCGGAGAGCCCGUGCGUGGACUUUGCUGCACUGGCGCGAACCGGUCGCUUCGUCGACAAGACCCACCUCAUAAAGUGGUUCGCCGCCCAGGUAAACUCAACGCUCAUGACCGCACCGAAGCAUUUCGGCAAAUCUACCAGCCUAGACAUGCUGCGACGUUUCUACCAUCCCCCCGUCCACAUGAACGGAACCCGAAUCCCGAAACAUCAUUCACCAAACCACAAACUCUUCACCGACACAUAUUUCACCACGAAAACUCGCCUGGCAGUCAACCAAAACCCGUUCUUCGACAAGCACUUCGCCUCGAGACCGGUCCUCCUCCUGAAUUUCACCACGCUCGAGACCCAAACAUGGGAGACAUUCGUCGCCUCCGUCCGACGGAUGUUCGUCGAUGCGAUCGGGGACAUGCCGUACCUUCGCAGCGACAACCCGAACGACGAAAGCCGCAAAUUCUUCAUCAACCAACUCGAAGGCCAGGCCCGCGUUGAGAACGCGGCCGUGGAGCAGAUCAACGCGUACCUCCUGACGUUCCACCUGAACGCGUACUUCAACGCAACCGGUUUGCUCCUCCUGAUAGACGACCUGGACGCGCCCUUGCGGCGAAUGCUGGAACUAGGCAUGGACGCGGAGCAGGGCCCAAUGGUGGAGUACCUGAACGACCUGGUCCGCGCUCUGGUCAAAGGGAAUCGUCACGUGUGGAAAACCUUCGCCAUGGCCCGGUUGCCGCCCUCGCACGUGUUUCACGAUAUCGACAACCUCAGGAACCUCACGUUCCAUUUCCACCCGGAGGUUGCGGUGGCGUUCGGGUGCCGCGAGGAGGAGGUGCGAACUCUUCAGCAACAGUUCCCGAAUCAGAACAGCAGUCUGCCGGAAGCCACGAAGACUUACGGCGGCUACAAGGUCGAGGAUGCGAGGCUCGGGAACACUUUUGAGGUCUUUAAUACUGCGUCGGUUGCGAGGUACUUCGAGACUGGCCUGGAUAAGGUCUACUGGAGUGCGGACAGCGACGUGCCUUUCGCGAGUAUUUUUAAGAUCACGGAGGUGAUGCGAUUUUUGAGGUCUGCAAUACUUGGGUACGAGGUGCGGAUUGUGUACGAGGAAGCGAUGACCUAUGAUAAGUUCGUGAGCUUGAAGAGUGCGUUGGAUCGGGCGAAAAAGUCGAAGGGAGACGUCGUUGUUGAGCCCGUCAAUGUUCAUUUGGUCGUUCAGUAUUUAUUCGAGCUGGGGUACUUCACACUUGUCAGCAAACACAAACAGGAUAUCUUAUUGGCGUUGCCGAAUUUAGAGGUGAAGAACAUCUUGAUCUCGCAUUUCGUCUCGGCCGUGGACGACCUCUUCGGAAUCCGGGAGGAGCUCCACGAGGAUUGUCUGGACGCAAUCCUGGGACUGACAGGAACCCAAGAGUCCCAAGCGAAGUUGGUCGGGAGCAUCGCGGACCUGUUUGCCCGGCGACGACCGUUGACGACGGACGAUCUGCUGACCCCUCUCGUGGCGACGGUCCUAAACCAGUACCUGGUGGGACCGAGAGUGGAGUUAAUCAUCUCGGGAGAGCAAACGCCGACCCUGUCCAAACUGGUCGUCCUGCGGACGGACGAGGUGGCUAACGAACACACGGGUAUCAUCAUCCAAGCCGCGGUCCACGGGAGUUCCAGGGAGGCGCUCAAUCGCACCGUCGCCGGGAAGGAUUUCAAGACCUUCUUCGAGAUGACCAAAGGGAGCAAGGCUGAAGGCAUCCAGAGUGACAUAGUUCUCGUCGGGCUAAAUUUCGGGGAAAAGAAAGUGUCCGGGAGUUUCAUGUACAGCGACGGAUCUGAUUUCAAGUCCAGUGAUAUCGAGUGUGACGUCAAGUCGUGGGGAGAGAGUAAGAGUGCUAAAUCCAAAAUGGGCCUCUAUAUCUAA
rnacentral:lncRNA from 1 species